CCUACGGGGGGCUGCAGUGGGGAAUAUUGGACAAUGGGGGGAACCCUGAUCCAGCCAUGCCGCGUGUGUGAAGAAGGCCCUCGGGGUGUAAAGCACUUUCAGUGAGGAAGAACGCCUGGUGGUUAAUACCCAUCAGGAAAGACAUCACUCACAGAAGAAGCACCGGCUAACUCCGUGCCAGCAGCCGCGGUAAUACGGAGGGUGCGAGCGUUAAUCGGAAUUACUGGGCGUAAAGCGCGCGUAGGUGGCUUGAUAAGCCGGUUGUGAAAGCCCCGGGCUCAACCUGGGAACGGCAUCCGGAACUGUCAAGCUAGAGUGCAGGAGAGGAAGGUAGAAUUCCCGGUGUAGCGGUGAAAUGCGUAGAGAUCGGGAGGAAUACCAGUGGCGAAGGCGGCCUUCUGGACUGACACUGACACUGAGGUGCGAAAGCGUGGGUAGCAAACAGGAUUAGAUACCCCAGUAGUC
rnacentral:rRNA from 1 species